GCUACGGGCGGCUGCAGUGGGGAAUCUUGCGCAAUGGGCGAAAGCCUGACGCAGCGACGCCGCGUGGGUGACGAAGGCCUUCGGGUUGUAAAGCCCUGUGGGGAGGAACGAACCGUCCGGGGGCCAAUACCCUCCGGGCCUGACGGUACCUCUUUAGCAAGCAUCGGCUAACUCUGUGCCAGCAGCCGCGGUAAGACAGAGGAUGCGAACGUUGCUCGGACUUACUUAGCGUGCCCCGCGCGUAGGUGGCGAAAGCCCUGGGCUCAACGGAGGAAGUGCACGGGAUACUGCGAGGCUGGAGUACAGAAGAGGACAGCGGAAUUCCCGGUGUAGAGGUGAAAUUCGUAGAUAUCGGGAGGAACACCAGUGGCGAAGGCGGCUGUCUGGGCUGAUACUGACACUGAGGCGCGAAAGCGUGGGAAGCAAACAGGAUUAGAUACCCUGGUAGUC
rnacentral:rRNA from 1 species